rnacentral:tRNA from 1 species
GGAGAUAUGAUUCAAGUGGUAGUGUGUGCCUAGAAAGCACAAAGUUCUGAGUUCAAACCCCAGUAUUGCCA